AGUGAACGCUGGCGGUAGGCCUAACACAUGCAAGUCGAACGGCAGCACAGUAAGAGCUUGCUCUUACGGGUGGCGAGUGGCGGACGGGUGAGGCAUACAUAGGAAUCUACUUUUUCGUGGGGGAUAACGUAGGGAAACUUACGCUAAUACCGCAUACGACCUACGGGUGAAAGCAGGGGAGCUUCAGACCUUGCGCGAUUGAAUGAGACGAUGUCGGAUUAGCUAGUUGACGGGGUAAAGGACCACCAAGGCGACGAUCCGUAGCAGGUCUGAGAGGAUGAGCAGCCCCACUGGAACUGAGACACGGUCCAGACUCCUACGGGAGGCAGCAGUGGGGAAUAUUGGACAAUGGGCGCAAGCCUGAUCCAGCCAUACCGCGUGGGUGAAGAAGGCCUUCGGGUUGUAAAGCCCUUUUGUUGGGAAAGAAAAGCAGCAGGUUAAUACCCCGCUGUUCUGACGGUACCCAAAGAAUAAGCACCGGCUAACUUCGUG
rnacentral:rRNA from 1 species